UGGAAUGCGUAGAUAUAUGGAUUAAGAACACCAGUGGCGAAGGCGGCUACCUGGUCUGCAACUGACGCUGAGACUCGAAAGCAUGGGUAGCGAAUUACAGGAUUAGAUACCCUGGUAGUCCAUGCCGUAAACGAUGAGUGCUAGGUGUUGGAGGGUUUCCGCCCUUAUUCAGUGCCGGAGCUAACGCAUUAAGCACUCCGCCUGGGGAGUACGACCGCAAGGUUGAAACUCAAAGGAAUUGACGGGGGCCCGCACAAGCGGUGGAGCA
rnacentral:rRNA from 1 species